AGGGUCCAGCGGCUGGAAGAGCACCG
rnacentral:snRNA from 1 species